UUAACGGCUGACGGGGCCGGGGCUGCCAGCCGCCCCCCUGCAGCGGUCCGAGGGACAGCCUGGGGGGCCUCGCUCGGCGCGGCCUCCUCCGGGGCAGACAGCUGUCGCCGGCCGCAGGGGCGGGAGCCAUCCGUCGCGGCGCCGCCGGCUGCCCUCAGGCCCUGCGCUUUGCGCAUGCGUGGUAGGCUUGCUGCGCUGGAAAUGCUGUUGGUGAAACAACGGAUUCCGUAGUUCUAAAAUGUGAAAAGCGGAAGAAGAGCGGAAUGGUUGGAAAAGGGAUUGCCGUCUCCUCGGCAGGAGCGCUCUGCGUGCUCCAUGGGACUUUCGGAGCUCUGCCAGCAACAGAAGCUCGGGCCUCAUUUGGAAACUUCAACUCAAGAAAAUCCAGUAAUUUUUCGAAGUGAGAAGAUUUGUGAAGCUUAUGCCUGCAAAGAAGUCUGAAGGCAAGCAGCACAUCAGCUGCCUCACUUCAUGCAGCAGUUCUACACUGAGGACUUCAGAUGAUUGCAGAGCAAGCUACAGACCAUGCACCUGUGAGCAGGAAUGGAAGGAAGGAAGCAGGGGUGGAAGAGCUCCUCUUUUAAUGGAAAAGAGCUGUUAUGCCUGGUUGGUGUGUUGCUGAAUCAUAUCCUUAGGCCAUCACAACUAUACUUCUUCCUCCAUGGUGUCAUGCCUACUGCUGUUAGUUUUGAUUGUUCAUUGCACCAUUGCUAGCAUGGCUUUUGUGCAAAGAAAGAUAACUGUAUAAAGAUAGAAAAAUGAGGAAGGGUUUGAGAGAUUUUAGGCUGGCAGAAUGUAGUGUGCUGACUCUUGCACUUGUGUAGAUAUGCAGAGCUCUGUAGCUCUGAAAAGCUCAGGGACCAGCUAGCAGAACAACCCGAGGUCUAAACCACAAGCUGGAUAGACUCAAAGAAUUAGUUUUAGCUUAAUGUUAGGACUAAGAAAAGACAGCAGGGACAGAAAAAUCACUGGGACUGGUGCCACAAACCACUAAUCUUUAAGAUACUCAAGAGAAUAUUAAACUCAUCUACUAUGAAAGUGUGGAUACCUCUGCCAAGUACUUUGAAUAACAGGGAUGAAGGUGUUGGAAUUACACUGCAGCCUUUGUUUAAUGGUGAAGAUAACAUAGUGAAGAAAAACAGCAAAAAUAUUACAGGACUAAAUAGAAAAGAGAGCUCAGCUACAGGCUUCAGGCAGGUGCAUGACUCAGGGAUAAACCAGACAAGGAGAACCUGGGGCUGACAGAAGUUUGAGAUUAUGAAUGUCCAGGGGAAUAGGACUUUGUAAGCAACCCAUGUCCAAGACAUGCAUGUCAUCAUCAGAGAAGUUCUGCUACUAGUUUUAAAAGAAUAUGCACAAUAUUCAUUUUCGGGAUGAAGAUGGAGUCUUUGGGGCCAUGCUGGAUAUGAAUUCCAGUACACAAAAAUACCAGUUCCUGGCAUUGGUGAGCUGGAGGAAAAGUAAUGAAUGGAAGUUUUGCUGCAUCGUCAGGCAAAGGUGAUCUUCAGUCUAACAUAGUAGAGUGUUAAUUUAAAGAAACCCAGCAAAACAACUGUAUUUUUUUCUGUGGUAGUUAAUUUGAUCAUUUCAUGAUAUUUAUAUACAGCACAAAACGUAGGCAGUCAUGAGGGGCAGACCCUAAAAGAAAUGGGUGAAAUUCUGGUGCCAUUUAACUUUGUUAGAAGUCAGAUCUGUGCUCAUUUUCUGCCUAUCUUAUGAAGGUUUAAUUGAAAAAGGUUUUCUAUUGAAGACAGAAAUGAAAUGUACGAUGAUUGAAAGAGCCCAGUGACCCAGCAAGACUGGGAGCAUCCACAUACUUUUGGUUAACCAGGAAAGAAUAAAAUGUCAGAAAACA